rnacentral:rRNA from 1 species
GAUCAUUACCGAAUUGUCAACACGAGCUGUUGCUGGCCUUCAAACGGGGGCACGUGCACGCUCUGUUUUCAUCCACUCACACCUGUGCACCCUCUGUAGUUCUAUGGUCUGGGAGACUCUGUCUUCCUUCUGUGGUUCUGCGUCUUUACACACACACUGUAACCUGGUCUUAUGGAAUGUAAAGCAGCGUUUAACGCAAUAUAAUACAACUUUCAGCAACGGAUCUCUUGGCUCUCGCAUCGAUGAAGAACGCAGCGAAAUGCGAUAACUAAUGUGAAUUGCAGAAUUCAGUGAAUCAUCGAGUCUUUGAACGCACCUUGCACCCUUUGGUAUUCCGAAGGGUAUGCCUGUUUGAGUGUCAUUAAAUUCUCAAACUCACUAUGUUUCUUUUGAAACGUAUUGGGCUUUGGAUGUGGGGGUUGCAGGCUUUAACGAGUCGGCUCCUCUUAAAUGCAUUAGUGGCUUGUCGAUCCCCAUUAAAUGGUGUGAUAGUAAUAUCUGCAUCAUAACUAAUGGCUAGGUCAUGCAAUGGCAAUUUGAAGCUGCUUUCUAACGGUCUUCGGACAAUUCGAACCAUUUGACCUCAAAUCAGGUAGGACUACCCGCUGAACUUAAGCAUAUCAAUAAGCGGAGGAAAAGAAACUAACAAGGAUUCCCCUAGUAACUGCGAGUGAAGCGGGAAAAGCUCAAAUUUAAAAUCUGAUAGUCUUUGGCUGUCCGAGUUGUAAUUUAGAGAAGUGUUACCCGCGCUGGACCGUGUAUAAGUCUUCUGGAAUGGAGCAUCAUUGAGGGUGAGAAUCCCGUCUUUGACACGGACUACCAGGGCAUUGUGGUGCGCUCUCAACGAGUCGAGUUGUUUGGGAAUGCAGCUCAAAAUGGGUGGUAAAUUCCAUCUAAAGCUAAAUAUUGGCGAGAGACCGAUAGCGAACAAGUACCGUGAGGGAAAGAUGAAAAGAACUUUGGAAAGAGAGUUAAACAGUACGUGAAAUUGCUGAAAGGGAAACGCUUGAAGUCAGUCGCGUUGGCUUGAAAUCAGCCUUGCUUUGCUUGGUGUACUUUCUAGUUGACGGGUCAACAUCAGUUUUGACCAUUGGAUAAGGAUGGAGGGAAUGUGGCUCCUUUAGGAGUGUUAUAGCCUUCUAUCGUAUACAGUGGUUGGGACUGAGGCUCUCAGCACGCUUU